rnacentral:rRNA from 1 species
GAGGUUGAUAGGUUCGGUGUGGAAGCGCGGUAACGCGUGGAGCUGACGAAUACUAAUCGGUCGAGGACUUAUCCACAAAUUCUUAG